CCUACGGGAGGCUGCAGUAGGGAAUAUUGCUCAAUGGGGGAAACCCUGAAGCAGCCACGCCGCGUGGAGGAUGAAGGUUUUCGGAUUGUAAACUCCUUUUGUUAGAGAAGAUAAUGACGGUAUCUAACGAAUAAGCACCGGCUAACUCCGUGCCAGCAGCCGCGGUAAUACGGAGGGUGCAAGCGUUACUCGGAUUCACUGGGCGUAAAGGGCGCGUAGGCGGGAUAGCAAGUCAGAUGUGAAAUCCUAUGGCUUAACCAUAGAACUGCAAUUGAAACUGUUAGUCUAGAGUAUGGGAGAGGUAGGUGGAAUUCUUGGUGUAGGGGUAAAAUCCGUAGAGAUCAAGAGGAAUACUCAUUGCGAAGGCGACCUGCUAGAACGUAACUGACGCUGAUGUGCGAAAGCGUGGGUAGCAAACAGGAUUAGAUACCUUUGUAGUC
rnacentral:rRNA from 1 species